AAUGCACCAAUUUGUAAGUCGCUCUGGAUAAGAGCGUCUGGUAAAUGACUUAAA
rfam:Salmo salar isolate Sally breed double haploid chromosome ssa01, whole genome shotgun sequence.